rnacentral:rRNA from 1 species
GGUCAAGUUAUUAAGGGUGCAGGGCGGAUGCCUUGGCACUAGGAGCCGAUGAAGGACGUGAUAAGCUGCGAUAAGCUUCGGGGAGUUGCACGUAAACUUUGAUCCGAAGAUUUCCGAAUGAGGAAACUCACUUAGAGUAAUGUCUAAGUAUCAUUAAGUGAAUACAUAGCUUAAUGAGGGGAACUCAGGGAACUGAAACAUCUAAGUACCUGAAGGAAGAGAAAGAAAUUCGAUUCCGUAAGUAGCGGCGAGCGAACGCGGAAGAGCCCAAACCAAUAAAGUUUUCUUUAUUGGGGUUGCGGACAUAUCAUAACGAAGAGGUAUCGUAAUUGAAGAGGUUUGGAAAGACCCACCACAGAAGGUAAUAGUCCUGUAUGUUAAACGAGAAAACUUUAGAUAUGAUCCAGAGUACCACGGGACACGUGAAACCCUGUGGGAAGCAGGAGGGACCACCCUCCAAGGCUAAAUACUACCUAGUGACCGAUAGCGUAUAGUACCGUGAGGGAAAGGUGAAAAGAACCCCGGGAGGGGAGUGAAAUAGAACCUGAAACCCUGCACUUACAAGCUGUGGAAGCACAUUUCUUGUGUGACCGCGUACUUUUUGUAGAACGGGCCAACGAGUUACGUUAAGUAGCAAGGUUAAGCACUUAAGGUGUGGAGCCGUAGCGAAAGCGAGUUUUAACUGAGCGUUCAGUUACUUGACGUAGACCCGAAACCGGGCGACCUACCCAUGAGCAGGAUGAAGCGAAAGUAAAAUUUCGUGGAGGUCCGAACCCACGAGCGUUGAAAAGCUCGGGGAUGACUUGUGGGUAGCGGUGAAAUUCCAAUCGAGCCCGGAGAUAGCUGGUUCUCCCCGAAAUAGCUUUAGGGCUAGCCUCAAGGUGAGAGAUACGGAGGUAGAGCACUGAAUGUCCUAGGGGGUAUUGCACCUACCGAAGACUAUCAAACUCCGAAUGCCGUCAUCUUAUACUUGGGAGUCAGACUGUGGGUGAUAAGAUUCAUAGUCGAAAGGGCAACAGCCCAGAUCGUCAGCUAAGGUCCCUAAAUGUAAGUUAAGUGGUAAAGGAUGUGGGAUUGCACAGACAACCAGGAUGUUGGCUUAGAAGCAGCCACUCAUUCAAAGAGUGCGUAAUAGCUCACUGGUCGAGUGAUCCUGCGCCGAAGAUUUCCGGGGCUAAAACUUACUACCGAAGCUACGGCAUCAUUAUGAUGGGUAGGGGAGCUUCCCAUACGGGUUGAAGCAUGACCGUAAGGACAUGUGGACAGUAUGGGAGUGAGAAUGUUGGCAUGAGUAGCGAGAUGUGGGUGAGAAUCCCACAGGCCGUAAACCCAAGGUUUCCAGGGGAAGGUUCGUCCGCCCUGGGUUAGUCGGGACCUAAGCUGAGGCCGAAAGGCGUAGGUGAUGGACAACAGGUUGAUAUUCCUGUACUACCGAUAACCGUUUGAGAGAUGGGAUGACACAGUAGGAUAAGCUAAGCACACUGUUGGUUAUGUGUGCCCAAGCAUUGAGGCAGUCAGAGUAGGUAAAUCCGCUUUGAUAAUGCUGGGAUGUGAUGGGGAGCGAAAUUUAGUAGCGAAGUAGCUGAUUUCACACUGUCAAGAAAAGUCUCUAUCGAGGUUAAAGGUACCCGUACCGCAAACCGACACAGGUGGGUGAGGAGAGUAUCCUAAGGCCCGCGAGAGAACUGUUGUUAAGGAACUCGGCAAAAUGACCCCGUAACUUAGGGAUAAGGGGUGCCACCAUCCGGUGGCCGCAGAGAAUAGGCCCAAGCGACUGUUUACCAAAAACAUAGGUUUCUGCUAAGUCGCAAGACGAUGUAUAGGAGCUGACGCCUGCCCGGUGCUGGAAGGUUAAGGGGAUCUGUUAGAGCAAUCGAAGCAGUGAACUUAAGCCCCAGUAAACGGCGGCCGUAACUAUAACGGUCCUAAGGUAGCGAAAUUCCUUGUCGGGUAAGUUCCGACCCGCACGAAAGGCGUAACGAUUUGGGCACUGUCUCAACAACAGACUCGGUGAAAUUGUAAUUCCGGUGAAGAUGCCGGAUACCUGCGACAGGACGGAAAGACCCCAUGGAGCUUUACUGUAGCUUGACAUUGGGUCUUGGUACUACAUGUACAGGAUAGGUGGGAGGCUUUGAAACCAGGACGCCAGUUUUGGCGGAGCCAUCCUUGGGAUACCACCCUUGUAGUACUGGGACUCUAACCAUAGGCCAUGAAUCUGGUCUUGGGACACUGUCAGGUGGGCAGUUUGACUGGGGCGGUCGCCUCCCAAAAGGUAACGGAGGCGCUCAAAGGUUCUCUCAGUACGGUCGGAAAUCGUACGUAGAGUGUAAAGGCAAAAGAGAGCUUGAUUGCAAGACAUACAGGUCGAGCAAGGAUGAAAAUCGGACUUAGUGAUCCGGUGGUUCUGCGUGGAAGGGCCAUCGCUCAACGGAUAAAAGCUACCCUGGGGAUAACAGGCUUAUCUCCCCCAAGAGUCCACAUCGACGGGGAGGUUUGGCACCUCGAUGUCGGCUCAUCACAUCCUGGGGCUGUAGUAGGUCCCAAGGGUUGGGCUGUUCGCCCAUUAAAGUGGUACGCGAGCUGGGUUCAGAACGUCGUGAGACAGUUCGGUCCCUAUCCGUCGCAGGCGUAGGAAAUUUGAGAAGACCUGUCCUUAGUACGAGAGGACCGGGAUGGACGUACCUCUGGUGUACCAGUUGUUCUGCCAAGGGCAUGGCUGGGUAGCUAUGUACGGAAUGGAUAAGCGCUGAAAGCAUCUAAGCGCGAAGCCAACUUCAAGAUAAGAUUUCCCACCG